rnacentral:rRNA from 1 species
UUGUCUUUUAAAUGAAGGCCUGUAUGAAUGGCAUAACGAGGGCUUAACUGUCUCCUUUUUCCAGUCCAUGAAAUUGAUCUUCCCGUGCAGAAGCGGGAAUACCAACAUAAGACGAGAAGACCCUAUGGAGCUUUAGACACCAGAAUAGACCAUAUAAGUACCCCUAACAAAAGGGCAAAACCAAUUGACCCCUAUUCUAAUGUCUUUGGUUGGGGCGACCGCGGAGAAACAAAAAACCCCCGCAAGGACCGAGAGUACAUUACUCCUACAACCCAGAGUUACAACUCAAAGUAACAGAACUUCUGACCAACAAGAUCCGGCACUCGCCGAUCAACGGACCGAGUUACCCUAGGGAUAACAGCGCAAUCCUCUUUUAGAGUCCAUAUCGACAAGAGGGUUUACGACCUCGAUGUUGGAUCAGGGCAUCCUAAU